rnacentral:misc_RNA from 1 species
UUUCCGUAGGUGAACCUGCGGAAGGAUCAUUAUCGAAUUUCGAGGGGAAGGAAGAUGAGGAGUGGAGACUGUCGCUGGCUUUCACGCUUGGGAAGCAUGUGCACGACUUGCUUUUCGUUGACCUGUCUCUUACUCCCACACUUGUGCACCCAUUGUAGAUCCUCGAAAGAGGUUCUAUAUUUUUAUCGUCACACGCUUCGUAUGUCCAUAGAAUGUAACAUGGUCGUCGAUCGACCUCGCGGUCGGGUGGCGGUCUAGAUAAAUAAAUACAACUUUCAGCAACGGAUCUCUUGGCUCUC